rnacentral:tRNA from 2 species
GGCCCUUUAGCUCAGAUGGUUAGAGCGAUCAGCUCAUAACUGAUUGGUCGCUGGUUCAAGUCCAGCAAGGGCCACCA